ensembl:lncRNA
AUGCAGUUUUUCCAGAAGAGAGGAGAAAGCCUUCUCACUGCAGCAGAGGUGUCUCAGGCACAAGGGACCUGGACUGACGAUAAACCAGGCUGGGACGGAACGAGCGGCCUUCAUGACGGCCACAACGGCCAGCAUCAGGCCAGACGGAAGCCAGCAGCUUCAUCCGGGUCUCUCACGUGGGUGCAGGACCGAGCACUUGGGCCAUCCUCCACUGCAACCCUCAGGAAGCUGCCAUUUCUGUAUCAGACCAGGGACACCGGCAGGUGCAAGAGUUCCCUGGACCACCGAUGCCACCCAUUGAGAUGCCUGCCUGGACCUUCCUUUUUGAACGACGCAGGGCUAAGAUUAUUCCCCCUUUGGGUUAUUUUCCAAGUUUCUCUUUUUUCCUCUUUUUUAAGGAAAGAUUUGUCUGUGUAUUUCAAAGGCAGAGUGAUAGAGAGUGAGGGAGAAACAGGAAGAAACAGAUCUUCCACCCACUGGUUCACUCCCCAGCUGCCAGAGCUGGGUUAGGCUGAAGCCAGGAGCCCGGAACUCCACCCAGGGCUCCCCGUGGGUGCACUCGCAGGGAGCUGGAUUGGAAGUGCAGCAGCCGAGACCCGACCGGCACACUGACGUGGAUGCCAGCCUUGCACAUGGUCCUCAACCCAGAGCCACAACACUGGCCCCUCUGUCGCCCUCUUGAUCUCUCUCAUCACACAGCCAGCUGUUAGGGCUGAGGUAAGCAACUGAAUUUGGGUCACGUGGGUCAACGGUCAAAGGUCAUUUUAUUUCUAUCUGACUCUUCCAAGCAGCCGACUUCUGAGCCAAAGGUGUGCCUUACAGGGGGUUGACGAUGGAUGCAGAGCGGAGACCCUGGAGGCCACGCCCCCUGUUCUGGACUCAGCUGAUAACCGAUUCCAAAGCUGAGGCUGACUGCUCCCGUGCCGAUCAACGGAGCCACAGGCACUGGGAGCCCAGGCACAGGGCUCAGGUGGGAGAAGCACUGGGCGAAGUGGGCAUUCCCACUGGCAGCUGGCCCCUGACCGGGCCCCUGGGACCAGAGGGUGGGUGACAAAGAUCCGCUGGAGUGGCCUCAGUGUUUCCCAGGUGGGGCCUGAAAAUGUACCCGGGCCCCGUGAGCCGCUCGGCCACCAGGGGAGCCUGUGGCUGAAGCACAUGGCAAUCGUGGGUGGCUCAGCAGAGAAGCGUGGGCCAGGCCAUGCUGCCUCCCCCGGCUGGCUGCCUGGCACGGAGAGUGGCUGCCUGGCACGGAGAGUGGCUGCCUGUGGCCCUUUGUGGCUGAGAAACACAAUAUGGUCCUCCCUCCUGGUGUGAACACCGGGAAGUCUGUGUUCUUUCCCACAGGGGUGGCCGAGGGAGGGCCGUGGCCCAGGCCGGGCACCCUGGUGUGAGCCUUGCACCGUGGCUGCAGCAAGAGAGCCGUGCGGUGCCCAGUGGGUGGGAUCCUCGGGUCCCACGGGCAGCUGGGAGCUGCACAGGACCAGAGCCCUGCAGCCAGGCUGACAGCUGUCAGUCAGAGUUGUGCAAACGAAAGAGAGCAUUCAGCUUGGACUUCCGGUUACUGAGAUGCAGAACCGCGCACCCUGGCUGGGGCUUUAACCUUUGCCCUGGAGAACGCACCCGGGCAGCAAGCCGGGAGCUGGGAGUGGCUCCGUUUGCUUCUCUGUCUUCGUCCCUGCUCCUGGAGGUCCCUCCUCCUGGGUCCUGGCCUCCAUCCUCGCCUUGUGCGUCAGGGAACCCCGGCUGCUCUUGUAGCCACAGCCUCGAGACAGAGCCGUUGGUGGGCACUGGACUGAGGACAGCCCCACGCCAGAAACGCUUCUGCUUCCCUCCCCUGCUCCUGCAGCUCCACCCUGGGGGGACAUGUUUGUCUGGGUCUCUCCCUGACUGCACACACACACGUACACACAUGUACACAGAGAUGCACACAUGUCUAUACACAUGCACAACACACGUGUGCACAUACAUGCACAACACACGUGUGCACACACGCACACACAUGCAAGCACACACUUGCACUCGUACACACAUGCACUCGUCAGUAUUCAUGGGGAAAGUGAUUUCAUUACACUAUAACAAUUUUCAUUUAUAAUGUUUAUGAAACGUCUGUUUUAUAACUCUGCCGGCGGCACAGUCCGUGCCAAGAGAGAAGGGUGGGCUUGGGGGCAGGAGGAUGGGUGCAGUGGGAAGAGUCACUGUGUUCCUAAGGUUGUAUUUAUGAAAUACGUGAAGUUUGUGUACCUUAAAUAAAAGGUUUCUGGGGAGGAAAUCUGAUCUACA